UAGUAAAGGGCUUGUUCGGUAACCAUUUUAAAAAUGGUUUUCUGUUUUUCUAAUAAAAAAUUCAGCAAUGAAAAAUAAAAUGUUGUUCGGUAAAAUAUUUUUGUUUUUUGUUUUUUUAAUUUAAAAUCAAAUUUAUGUAAAUUUUAAAAACAGAUUUUUUACGAUUUUAAAAACAAAUUUUUCUUUUUCUCGCUUCUCUCUCGCUCUCCCUUAAUUUUGCUAUUUGAAGCUCAUCUACGAUCUUCAAUGGCUUCAGUUCGGUUCAGAUUCGAAGCUUGCCUUGGAGUGUCGUUUCUAAAGUAUUCAAUAGUUGUUUGGAAAACCGAAACAGUAAAUUGGCAGAGAAAGUUGCAGUUGUUGGAUUCUUUGUGGCAGUACCUGACUUUUUGAAGGAAGAUUCUUAUGUUCCUUCAAAUGUUAAUAGACAUAUAAAAGUUCAAAUUCAAGAUCAUAGCACAGUUGGUUCAAGUUUUUUCUAUUCAUAAUUGGAGUUAUAGAUGAGACUUAUAUUUCUGCUCAUGCCUUCGUAUGAUAUGAAAAUACAGAAGUACAUUAUGAUUGUUUGCUGUGGGAUUCACAACUUCAUAAGGGCGAAUGCAGAAAAGGAUAUAUUUUGAUGGAGAUGAAGAGAUUUUUGAAGUACAAGAUAUUACUAUACAAAGCAAGCACCCACGUAACUUUGAAUAACAGUAUUGAGUUUAGCAUUUCAAGAGAUCAAAGUCAUGAAAUAGCUAAUAUCCGUGAUAAAAUUCCUGAUCAUAUACAGGGAGUAAAUCAACGAUAAAGAUAAUGAGUGAAGUAUAUUAACUGUUAUGACUUUUUUAAUUUUUUUUUCAAGAUUGGACAAUUAUUAGUUCAUGGUUUUGUCAAUUUUGUAUUAUAAAUAAUGGGUCUUGUGAUUUCAGAUUA